rnacentral:rRNA from 1 species
CAUCAUCGCUUGCGAUGGAUGGCGACCGGCGCACGGGUGCGUAACGCGUAUGCAACCUACCCUUUACAGGGGGAUAGCCCGGAGAAAUCCGGAUUAAUACCCCAUGGUACCAUAAAGCAGCAUUGUUUAAUGGUUAAAGAUUUAUUGGUAAAGGAUGGGCAUGCGUCUGAUUAGUUAGUUGGUGAGGUAACGGCUCACCAAGGCGACGAUCAGUAGGGGUUCUGAGAGGAUGAUCCCCCACACUGGCACUGAGAUACGGGCCAGACUCCUACGGGAGGCAGCAGUAGGGAAUAUUGGUCAAUGGGCGAGAGCCUGAACCAGCCAUGCCGCGUGCAGGAAGACGGCCUUCUGGGUUGUAAACUGCUUUUAUCAGGGAACAAAUAGUCCAUGCGUGGAAAGUUGCGUGUACCUGAAGAAUAAGCACCGGCUAACUCCGUGCCAGCAGCCGCGGUAAUACGGAGGGUGCAAGCGUUGUCCGGAUUUAUUGGGUUUAAAGGGUGCGUAGGCGGGACAUUAAGUCAGUGGUGAAAUACUUCGGCUCAACCGGAGAGGUGCCAUUGAAACUGGUGUUCUAGAGUACAGACGAGGUAGGCGGAAUUUAUGGUGUAGCGGUGAAAUGCAUAGAUACCAUAAAGAACACCGAUAGCGAAGGCAGCUUACUAGACUGUAACUGACGCUGAGGCACGAAAGCGUGGGUAGCGAACAGGAUUAGAUACCCUGGUAGUCCACGCCGUAAACGAUGAUCACUCGAUGUAUGCGAUACACCGUAUGCGUCCAAGCGAAAGCGUUAAGUGAUCCACCUGGGGAGUACGC